GACGGGGCCGCACAAGCGGAGGAACAUGUGGUUAAUUCGAUGAUACGCGUAGGAACCUUACCUGGGCUUAAAUGUAGAGUGCAUUUUUUAGAGAUAGAAAUUCCCUUCGGGGCUUUCUGCAAGGUGCUGCAUGGUUGUCGUCAGCUCGUGCCGUGAGGUGUCGGGUUAAGUCCCAUAACGAGCGCAACCCUUAUCGUUAGUUGCCAGCUGGUAAAGCAGGGGACUCUAGCGAAACUGCCACCGUAAGGUGAGAGGAAGGUGGGAUGACGUCAAAUCAGCACGGCCCUUAUGUCCAGGGCUACACACGUGUUACAAUGGCCGGCACAGAGGGCAGCUACCUGGUGACAGGAUGCUAAUCUCGAAAACCGGUCUCAGUUCGGAUCGAAGUCUGCAACUCGACUUCGUGAAGCUGGAUUCGCUAGUAAUCGCGCAUCAGCCAUGGCGCGGUGAAUACGUUCCCGGGGCUU
rnacentral:rRNA from 1 species